CCUACGGGUGGCAGCAGUGGGGAAUAUUGGACAAUGGGCGAAAGCCUGAUCCAGCCAUGCCGCGUGUGUGAAGAAGGCCUUCGGGUUGUAAAGCACUUUCAGUGGGGAAGAAAGCCUUGGGGCUAAUACCCUCGAGGAAGGACAUCACCCACAGAAGAAGCACCGGCUAACUCCGUGCCAGCAGCCGCGGUAAUACGGAGGGUGCGAGCGUUAAUCGGAAUUACUGGGCGUAAAGCGCGCGUAGGCGGUCUGAUAAGCCGGUUGUGAAAGCCCCGGGCUCAACCUGGGAACGGCAUCCGGAACUGUCAGGCUAGAGGGCAGGAGAGGAAGGUAGAAUUCCCGGUGUAGCGGUGAAAUGCGUAGAGAUCGGGAGGAAUACCAGUGGCGAAGGCGGCCUUCUGGACUGACACUGACGCUGAGGUGCGAAAGCGUGGGUAGCAAACAGGAUUAGAUACCCUAGUAGUC
rnacentral:rRNA from 1 species